rnacentral:rRNA from 1 species
UACGUAGGGUGCAAGCGUUGUCCGGAAUUAUUGGGCGUAAAGAGCUCGUAGGCGGUCUGUCGCGUCGGCUGUGAAAUCCCGAGGCUCAACCUCGGGUCUGCAGUCGAUACGGGCAAACUAGAGUAUUGCAGGGGAGACUGGAAUUCCUGGUGUAGCGGUGGAAUGCGCAGAUAUCAGGAGGAACACCGGUGGCGAAGGCGGGUCUCUGGGCCGUUACUGACGCUGAGGAGCGAAAGCGUGGGGAGCGAACAGG